AGCGAACGUUAGCGGCGGGCUUAACACAUGCAAGUCGAACGCGAAAGGGAUUCGUCCCCAGUAGCGUGGCGUCCGGGUGAGUAACACGUAGGAAACCUUGCCUAGAGUGGGGGAUAACGUCCCGAAAGGGACGCUAAUACCGCAUAAGCCCACGUCGGCCUCGGCCGAUGCGGGAAAAGAUGGCCUCUGAAUUCAAGCUAUCGCUCAAGGAUGGUCCUGCGGCGCAUCAGCUAGUUGGUGGGUAACGGCCUACCAAGGCGAAGACGCGUAGCUGGUCUGAGAGGAUGAUCAGCCACACUGGCACUGAAACACGGGCCAGACUCCUACGGGAGGCAGCAGUGGGGAAUAUUGGACAAUGGGCGCAAGCCUGAUCCAGCCACGCCGCGUGAGUGAUGAAGGCC
rnacentral:rRNA from 1 species